rnacentral:tRNA from 1 species
GUCUUCGUGGUGUAGUGGUAGCACACUGGGCGCAUAUUCGAGAGGUCUAGGUUCGAGUCCCGGCUAGGGCA